UCUCUCUCUCUCUCGCACGAAGCUAAACACUUCUUCUUCAAUCGAGUUCUUAAUGUUUGGAACGCUCUACCCUGUGAUGUCGUUGAUAGUACAACAGUUACGGCCUUCAAAAAUAGAUUAAACAAGUGUUUUGAAUCCAACCAGCAACUAAGAUAUUACUCAUUGUCGUAAUAACGUUAAGUUCUUUCGAAUACUGCAGUGGUGUCCUUGUCCGCUUUUAUCGCCCGGUUAGUGGUAGCAGUAAUGGUAGUUCUUUCCUCUUUCCUACAUAAUUUCCAUAAAGUUUUUCCAUGCUGCAUGGUUCUUUUUCCUUUCCUGCCAGCUUUGGGUGGAGGGAUGGGGGGGUGGGGAGGAGCCUUCGCCUUUGCUGUCCUUCAUCUUCCACCUUUGAUUAGAUAGUUAGUGUAGCUUGUCACAAACAGCCUCGUAAGGACCAGCAGGUCUGCUGUUGUUUGUUCUUCCUUUGUGUUCCUCCUCCUCCACCUCCUCUUCGUCUUCCUCCUCCUCCUCCUCCUCUUUUUCAUGGGGGAGGAGGGAAGAGAGAUGGAGGAAGGAGGAAAAAUGAGAGAGAGAGAGAUCGCUUACCUGUAAAUAUCCCCCACCUGGCCGCGCUAAUAACACCGUCACACAUCCAAGGCACACACUUCAUGGCGCCGAGUCCCCCCCCCAGCGAGUAGAACCGUGGCACACGUCCUCUCUACCAAGUCUGGGUGGACACUGAGGUGAGGUGGUCCGUGGUGCCGCCUUGCAACGCGUGAAGACAUCCAGGUGAGUCGAGUUGCCUGUAGGUGCUCGGUUUUCGUCUUUAUUUCUCCUCUUUCCUCUUGUCCCUCCUCCUCCUCUUUCUGUACACUUAUAGAACAAUCUCUCCUCUUUCUCCUCGUGUUAUCCGUUUCUCUCUAUCUCCUCUCGUUCUCUCUCUAUCUCCAUUUUUAUCAACACUUUUCUCAUCUCUCCUCCAUAUCUAAUUUAGGUUGGCAAUGUCCUUCCUACUACUACUACUACUACUCAAGGAUUGUAAGUAAAGGGAGUUGUAGUAUAUAUUUUUUAUUAAUAAGUGUUGAUGAUAAAAAUAAUAAUGAGAGAGAGAGAGAGAGAGAGAGAGAGAGAGAGAGAGAGAGAGAGAGAGAGAGAGAGAGAGAGAGAGAGAGAGAGAGAGAGAGAGAGAGAGAGAGAGAGAGAGAGAAAUACCUUCACAUCUGAAAGGGAAAAAUCUAUAAUCAUCUUCCUCCUCCUUCUCUUCUUCCUCACACACACACAAAUUAUGGCAGUUCCACCCAGGCAGUGACCUCUUCGCAGUAGUACUUGGGGGCAGGGUUAUGGUCAAGUUAUAGGGAGAUUUUUAUUUGUACAAAGCCCCUGUGGUGACCCUGCUGUCUGACCCUCACACCAACCAUCUUAUUGGGUCAAAUCGCAGGUCAGAUGGGUCCUAAUGUGUGUUUCCUUAGGUUCACGGUACAGAGGUAGGGUCAUGAAACUACCCCUGGAAAUGCCCACAACUCCUAGGAAAGCCUUGGCAAAUGUGUGUUUCCUUAGGUUCACGGUACAGAGGAAGGGUCACACUACCACCAGGGUCAUGAAACUACCCCUGGAAAUGCCCACAACUCCUAGGAAAGCCUUGCCAAAUGUGUGUUUCCUUAGGUUCACGGUACAGAGGAAGGGUCUCACUACCACAGGGUCAUGAAACUAUCCCUGAAAAUGCCCACAACUCCAAGGAAAGCCUUGCCAAAUGUGUGUUUCCUUAGGUUCAUGGUACAGACGAAGGGUCACACUACCACCAGGGUCAUGAAACUACCCCUGGAAAUGCCCACAACUCCUAAGAAAGCCUUGCCAAAUGUGUUUCCUUAGGUUCACGGUACAGAGGAAGGGUCACACUACCACCAGGGUCAGAAAACUACCCCUGGAAAUGCCAACAACUCCUAGGAAAGCCUUGGCAAAUGUGUGUUUCCUUAGGUUCACACUACCACCAGGGUCACAAAACUACCCCUGGAAAUGCCCACAACUCCUAGGAAAGCCUUGCCAAAUGUGUGUUUCCUUAAGUUCAUGGGCAGAGGAAGGGUCACACUACCACCAGGGUCACAAAAUUACCCCUGGAAAUGCCCACAACUCCUAGGAAAGCCUUGUCACAUGUGUGUUUCCUUAGGUUCACGGUGCAGAGGAAGGGUCAUAAAACUACCCCUGGAAAUGCCCACAACUCCUAGGAAAGCCUUGGCAAAUUAUGCUUACAUCUCAAAAUUAUCAAUUAAUGUAUGUUUCUUUAUGUGCACAAUUUAAUUCUGCAUGUUUUCAUAUAUAAUACAUGAUGAUUAAGUUGAGUUUAUGGCUGAAAACUUGUUAUAUUCAAUAGCGACAUUUGAAAUUUGGUGCGCACGGCGAUCUCGGAUACGGGGCGCUGUUUUGGCCUGGCCGUAGUGAAGGGGUUAAACCAAUAUAUUACACAUUUGGAAGUUGUAAAGUUUUGUUUAGUGGGCACAACAUCUGUGGUCACAUGCCGGAGAGAGACAGGCAAGGAAUGUUUUGUUUAGUGGGCAGCGCAAUAUCUGUGGUCAUAUGCCGGAGAGACAGGCAAGGAAAGUUUUGUUUAGUUGGCAGCGCAAUAUCUGUGGUCAUAUGACGGAGUGAGAUAGGAGGGGAAGGAA